CAGAUUGGAUUUGCUGAAGGUCUUUUUCUUCAUCGUGUCCUGUUGGUAAACAUUAAGCCUGGAAUCAACUUGAUCUUACAGGUAUGGUUUUCUUUUUCAUUUAAUCUUCAUCGAAUCGUAUUUAAGUAUAACGACUUAUUAGGAUUAUUUUUUGUUUUGUUUUGUUAUUAGUUGUUUUAAUAAAAUCCAUAAACAUAUGGAUUUAUGUUUUAUACUUUUAAUCUUCUGUUUUUUUACUAUCGUUGAUUAUAAUCACAAAUAUGUAUCUAUAGAUCUGAUGUUUUUACUAAUUUUGACCAUUGAAAUUCCAAAAAAUCUAAUCUUGAUGUUUGGACCAUCAAUUAGAUGGUGAUUUUGAAGUUGUUGAUCAGUCGGAUAGUGAUGUUUCUAUCGAUAGGAUGUUCGAUGAAGAUGAUGAGCAAGAUACGGAUGCACAGAGUAUCAUAAAGUUUUUGACAAACGUUUUUCUGGGAAGACCCUUAGCGAAAAGAGAUACGAUUAACUCGAAGGUUAUUAAAGAAGUUGUUUCUACACUGGGCCGACCUUUGGCAGACGUAUUUUUGCACUAACAGAAGGUUAUGGUGAAUUCACAGUCACUACAAAAGCCAAAAAAAAAAACAAGUUCUAUUAUGUUAAACAAGUUUUGAAUUGUUUAAUAUAUGUUUUCAGGUAUAUUUUCUCUCUAUCUUAUUGUAUCUAUAACUGGUAGUGGUGGAAAACUGGGCGGGUCAGGCUGCGGGCAGGUUGGGUAAUAGGUGAGUAAUGG